GGGGUUGUAGUUAACCAUAACAUUUAAUUUGCAAUUAAAAGGUACUUAAUAAGUCUACCUCA
rnacentral:tRNA from 1 species